AUUUUCCUACCCUCUCAGAAAUGAGCAAGAAUUGACUAAGCUCCAUGAACCUGAGAAGAGAAAGAGGCGGCCCGUAAAAGGCUGAAACACAAUGGGCAGGGAGACUCCACAAUGCCCAGAGACACCAAAGGGAUGGCGUGUGUGCGGUCACACGCGCACUGUGUGUGUGUAUCUCCUCUGCAUAUGUACACAGGCGUCGAGAGUAAAUUGUUGUCAUGGCUCUCGUCUCUCGGCGGUGAGUGCCAUGGACCUGAUUUUGAGCUCCCUGAAACAGCAUCCCUGGCUGUUCUGGCAUCACAAGGAUUAUUUUGAGUGGACGACUUUGAGGAACUGUAGAUGCAGGCAAAGCUCAGAAAAUGAAGUCCAACUUACACUUUUGUAAGGGCAAUUUAUAUGUAAAAAGGAAAUAUCUUUGUAAUCUCCAUCCUUCU